GGGUCGCGCUCAGUCCUGCGGCCGCGUCCCAGCCGCCUGAGGGUCCCAGAGGGCACCGCCGACCCCAGACCCCAGCCCGGUGAGGUGGGGGCGCGGGUGCCGUGCGUGCGGGCCGCCCGGCGUUCGCGGGCUAGAAAACCCGCGGGACUCGGACGCGGGCGGAGGACGAAGGUCCGACCACAUGUCGCCUCCCGGUGCGCAGACAGCGGGGGCUGCUCGGCCCUCGGGCCCGAGUGUCCUUCCCGGGCUUCGCGCUCCUCCCUGGGUGGGGGCGGCGCCGACUCUGUCCCUGGGUUUUGUUCUCCGGCCUUGCCCCGGGUCCCUGCCCAGCACCCGGGCAGAGGCGUUUUCCCAGAGGACAGCCGUCCGCUUCAAGUCCCUUGGUGAGCGGCCCCGUCGCCCCGGGGUGAGGAUGCGGGGCCCCGGGAAGACCCUCUCGCCGCCCCCCCACAUGUCCUCCAGCACCUUCUCUGCAGCCCCCACGCUGGCCCGUGAGCCUCGGCACGUGCUGCUGCCUCUUUGCAAAACACGCUCCCCCCUCGCCCCCUCUUUCCCAGCCACCAGCUGCUUAGCCUCUGGUUUCUGCUCAGACGACGCCCCCCCCGCGAGGCCGGCCCUGACCUUCAGGGUGAGGGGCCCCCUCUCUGCGCCCGUGCUCUGGGGGCUUCCCUGAGGACGCCCCAUCCCGUAGUGUGGUCGCUGCUCUCCCUCGGGCCUGCGAGCACAGGAACCCACUGCCCGGGGCCAAGCAGGCCCUCAGAUCCGUGAAGGAGUGAAAGCGAUUUCCUAAUAAGAUGUUUGGAUAGUCGGUGACCGAUCAGGUAUCACGAGGACUGUCUGGUGACGCGGUUCGUGGGCUUUUCCGGGCCCCCAGCUUGCUCCCCUGGGGCCCUUCACCCCACCUGAUCGUUCCCCAGACCAAAAAUCCUUUAAGAGAGUGGACAUCGGUUCUCCAGUUGUACAAUAUUAGGAAGUGGAGGAUGUAGACUUGUAACUAUAAAAUAUCAGUUCUAUUCGUUUAAACUGUGUUUCCUCUAGAUCUUGGUUUCUGUGUCACCUAUAGAAAAAUAAUUCUAGAUACUUUACAGGUGAUAUAAUUGUAACAAUAUUUUUUUUCUGUUUUUAAAUUUAGUUUGUUCCACAUGAUUUUCCCCAGAGGAAAAACAAUACUUUCAUAACGGUCGGUGGGGAAACAAAUACAUGUGCAGGAACCGUUACUCUAUGGUCAGCUUCUCCAGAGCGCAGUGGGCAGAGGCCACACGUGUUACGUCUCUUGCAUCCUAAUAAGGUGUUCCCUCCACUUGGGUUUCAGACAGUGGCGAGUUAUUUUGCUUUAUUUAUCCUGUCACCCUAGUUUGGAGGGGCGGACUGGUGCUGCAGAAACAUUUCUCGUAAGUACUAUCUGAACUUAAAACAAAAUCAGAUACCUGAGUUUGAAGGCGGUUGCUGUUUGUGAUAUCCGAGAACGGCAAAAAAACUGAAGGGCUAAGAACUGGGUAUGCCUUGAUUCACAAGAAGACUGGCUGGACCGUUCAGUGGCAGAAAAUUUCUGUUCAGAGCUCCAAGAAUUCUCUCCCGGCUGAGUCAGGAAGCAGCUGCUGGUGUGUGAGUUUUGAAACGUGGCACAGAUCCCCCACAGAGGCAUACAGACUGGUCCCUCAGGGUCUGAUAUUGGAGCUCAGAGGUGAUGCUCUUAACAGACGCGGACUUGACCAAGGGAACCCGUGUAAGUUUCAGGAGCCCGACAGUCUCUGGUCUUGAUUAGCGCCUCUGGGCGCGGCUGGGACUUCACAGCACCCGGCGGGGCCACCUCGGGUGGAAAUCCGAGUCUCUGCGCUGUGGCGUUGCCUCCAGAGGAAGCUGAGAACCAGUCUUCUAGAGCUCCAAAACCUGGGACUUAAUCCAGCUGACGCUGGCUUCAGCAUACUGACCAUGGGACCUGGCAGGAUUCCAUGUGCCCAGGACGAGCCGGCACAGGUGGUGAACGCUGGCAUGAGUGACCCACGGCACCUGCUGCACGGCCAGUCUGCAGACAGAGCCACCGUGCAUCCAGCCUCUGGAAGGUACUCCUGACAGAUGUUCCGAAGGUCAUUUACCUCACUGCUUUGUUACCUUUUAUAUUGAACAGGCGCCACACACUCACAGCAAAGUGUCAUCAAUAGCAUUAAACUCAAGAAGUUUUAGCAGAAGCUGUGUCUUGCGCGUCCUGUUCAGUAAGAGGCCCUGAGCUUGGGUGCCCUCACCCCUACGUCCAGAUGCAUGCGAGGGAGGGAGCGCCAUGCCUCGCCCUGCAGGCACUCUUGACCUCAGAGGGGAAGGUUGGGUGAUGGGGGGGAGGGAGGUUGUCCAGGCAGCUUGGAGUGUGCAUCCAGAUCCUGCUUCACUUGGGAAAUGUGCCAAUGACGGGGCCGUCAGGCAUUAGUAGAAUUUCACUUCCCUGGACUUGGGGUCUCAGGUGCUUGAAAUCUAGUUACUCUGAGGACAUAGAAUCUUUCCCUACUGCCAGGAUUCAGGAACUGAAAGGAUUAUGUAUAUACUGGGCUUGCUAGUGUUUUACGUGAAACCUUUAUCCUUACUUUGAAAAGUGAAGCACUUUCUGGACCUAAAAUUUGUGAAGGCCAAAUAUUAGCUUUGCGUUGCUUCUAUUUUUUUACAGAAAGAGGGUCUACUUGGUCAUUUCAGUAGGUAGAGGGACAUCUGGAAGUGAAGACCUUUCUGUUCAAAAAGAAAUAGCUGAAUAACUUUUAUUUGAAAUGAUCUUUUGUCUGUUAUCAGCUCUAUUUCUUGUCACUAUUUUUUUGAACAUGUAGUGUAAGCAUUGUAAACUGUUUUAAGUUUAAUUGAAGUUAUUAAACUUCCUGAACUCUUAAUGAUA